UGGCGGCCUUAGCGCGGUGGUCCCACCUGACCCCAUGCCGAACUCAGAAGUGAAACGCCGUAGCGCCGAUGGUAGUGUGGGGUCUCCCCAUGCGA
rnacentral:rRNA from 1 species